GUAGGUGAACCUGCGGAAGGAUCAUUAUUGAAUAUUUGAAGGGGUUGUUUGCUGGUCCCUAGCGGGACAUCGUGCACGCCCCGUUCAAAAAUCCAACCUUCAUACCCCUGUGCAUCAUUUGUAGGGUUGCGGCCGUCAGGCCUGCGCUCUAUGUUUAUCAUAAACUCUGUAGUAUGUGUAGAAUGACAUCGCGUAUAACGCAUCUAUAAUACAACUUUCAGCAACGGAUCUCUUGGCUCUCGCAUCGAUG
rnacentral:misc_RNA from 1 species